rnacentral:lncRNA from 1 species
CCGAGGGGGACGAGACCAGGGCCCGCGGAGCGGGCGGCGUCCGCGCGUCGACCGAGAAGGCGCUGUGGAGACCGGCGUGGGACCGCCACCUGGAGCGCAGCUGCCAGCCAGAUAUGCACAGUAAUGGCACAUACAUCAGUUGCGAGUUGCUCAGAGGACUGUGAGUUGGGUGAACCGUGUCCAUCUCCAUCAAGAUGUACAGCACCAGGGCUCUUGAUGUAUAGCACCUGUGUUCUGAUUAGUGGCCAGAUGAAUAACAUUCAGAACUUCCACUAAGGUACAGUAAGAUACUUUGGUGUCAUGGAACCUGGUUUCUUUCCACAAGGAAAGUUUGGCAAACAGCGCAGUCUUUAAUACAUUGUAUUGGUUUGAUGAUCCUACCUGAUAUAGGUAUGUAAAACCUCUAAUAUAUGCUUAUCCAUCCUUUUGAAUCUAUGGGUGUUUAUCCAUGACUGUCAAUUAUUGAGUGUGUUCUAAAGAGUUAAACUUCUGUAUUAUAAGAUAAUCUUUGUCUUUUCAAACCAAGAAGAGUUUGCUCGUAAUUUGAUGUUGUGAUGGUUGAAGACCGUUCAUUUUCUUUGUCAUAUGAUAAGCCUAGAGAAUCUAUCCAAGAGAAAGGGAGAAAUUCUGUGUUCAUAUGGUUCUGAAAAUAAUGAUGUAUCUACAAAGGGAUGGAAAUCAAAUAUAUGAAACAUGACUAAUACCUUGGUUUUCUUGUAAGUGUAGUGUCUUUAGUUCAAAAUUGUGACAGAAAGCUUAUCAAUUUCUCCUACCCUCAGAAUCAUUUCAGGCUCAACUGAGUACUGCGUUAUAAGCUAAAUGACUAAGCACAUGAUUUAAUGAAUGAGUGCUUGAUCAGUAAGGAUUUGUGACAGAUUUUCUAUUGUUUAUAAUGACAUACAUAUGACAUAGAAAUAAAUACAGUAGUUAACAAUAUCA